AAACAAAGAGGACAAGAGAUCCCUGACUUUACAUCUUAAGAUGGCUUGGUGAGCUAUUCAAGCACUUCCCAACAGGACAUUUUCUGGCAAGUUCCUUACAGAGACUGGACACCACUGGCAGUUUGGCAGAAGCUUCACUAUGAACAAUGAACAAAUAUCACUGACAGGCUCAGCAGUUUAUCUCAGGAAAUGUGCUGCUACCUUGGUAAACCAACUCACUGAGCAUAAUAAAAAUGCAGAUCCAAGUUGGCUUGGACACAGUGUUUAUCCAUAACUUCAGAACCUCUGUGGAGCUUAACUCCAGAGAAGCCAUUUCCAUGGAAAUUCCAGCAAGGCUACAUUACAAAUGAAUAAUUUGACUUUAGAUCCAGCUGCAACUCAAGGAUAUGGCUAUAAUCUGCAAACUAAAAAGACCUCAGUCAGAAGGACACUGGGCUCCCAGCUAGACAUCCAAUAAGAAGAGCAAUGACACUUCAGCUCUUGCUGUAAUAUUCAAACUAGAUAAGACAGUUCCUGCUGUGCUGCUGAAAUCCUGCUGGACUGUUAAGUACGCAGUUAUUCCGUAAGCAUCACCUGGACUGUUCUCUGCCUUGUGGGAAAGGUGGAGACUCAAACUUUCUUUAAGCUGUGCAACUGGCAGUGAGGCCUUCAGAGCUGCCUGGAGGGUGAACAAUGAUGUCUCAGGCCAGCUGUGCUCAUGAAGGGCAGAGCAGGGGGAUGGCUGGCAUCUACAGAAGGCUUGGAUGAGCAGGACAGAAGUAACUGGCUUGCCAGAACUGAGAAAGGCAGUUCUGCACUAGGAGAAAGCACUUCCUAAAAAGGCACAAACACACACACAGAGCCAGAAAAGCAUUUCACCUUUGCAGAGAACAGCUGAAUUCUGUUCUAAGCUGAAUUCUGAAGCAAAUAGUCUUUCCCUGGUGAACAGCAAGUGUCAGUCUUUGCAACCUCAAUGAACUAUCUCCUGACACAAUUUCAGACAGCUAUAGACCUGCAUAACAACUUUGAGUGUCCAGUCUUCCAGCUUCACCUCAAAAAUAAUUUGAGCUUUGUGGCAGAUAAAAACUCCCUUCUUUAAAAAGGAGUUUCACCCAUCUGCUAAGGAAGAAGCGCGAAUAAAUUCACUUCUUUUUGUAACAUUCCCUUCAUACACAUCUGUCUUGACACAUGACAACAUAAUUAUGCACAACUGAGAUGUUUACAGUUACUAGAUCUACUUAAAAGGAUAUGAGAUCCCAGGAACACAGACGCCUCCAUGCACUGAGGUAUCACCUCCCACCUCUUUUACUGUCUGAAAUUGGAAUAGACUCUGAGUUAAAGAAAAGAUGGGACCUCACAACAAAACAAUGAAAAGUGAAGAUCAGAGGGAGAGUAAAAAAACCCUAAUAGUUAACUAUGAGUAAAAAGAAAUGACAAGUUGAGUCAUUAAAGCUCCUAAAUAAGUAAAAAUCACUGGUGGAAUUUCCUGGAAAAAAUCCUGGAACAUUUAAAUAUAACCCUGUUGUCCACAAGAAAGUAGAUGGACUCAAGCACAAUAGAAACACAGAGAAAACAGUGAUGUUUCUUAAAUGUUGCCCUGGAGCCCUGAAGAUCUAAAUAUCCCUGAUCUCCUAAAUAUCAUUCAAGUAAACCAGGAUGAGAGGACAAGCUAUUAGCCUCAGGUAUGCAAGCCUUAAGAACAUUGCAACACAGAAUACCCCUGUUGGGUGAUUGGAAUGUUAAAGACUCCUGCAGGAGGAAGGAGAGCCUACUGAAACAUUUUUGGCUGCUCUUAAAUUAACAAGACAGAAGAAAACCAUUACACUUUGACAGAUUUCCUUAUAAGACAGUGACUUUGUUCAAAGAAGAGAUAUUGUCAAAUACAGAUCUACAGACAAGGCUGGUUUUGCUUCCAGAAAAAUCAUUGUGUGGAAUGAGAUGUUAUAGUGAAAGUGAAGUGAAACUAGGUUAGUCUCACCAUUUUAAGAGGAAACUGAAAAUCAGAAGAUCAUAACUCUAAGAAUUCAGAAGGGAUUUUACAGGUCAAAAUGCAAGAGAAGUGCAAAAGGAAGCAUUGCAAAAGACAUAGCAAAAGUAAAGCCCCAGAUAAUUUCCAGCAUUUCAAAAACUCUGUACCAAAGCUAUGGAAAUAGCCAUUAAAAAAAUUGAGUCCCGCAGUAGCAGAUGCAGAGGAGACCAGUACAGAGGUUCAUGGGGACAGCCAGGAGGUUUGGUUCUCAACAAUCUGAGAAAACAAGAGCUGAGAUGAUGCCUUGGUACUCUCAGCAGACAAAAUACAACAUUAUUUGACAGAACUAUAUAAAUUAAAUAUCAGUGCUUGCAGCUCAACUUGAAAAAUCUUGUUGAUAUCUGAAUAAAAAAAAAUGAUAAACAGGUGAAAUCAAAAAUAAAACAUAAGGACAGUUCCUACUGAAAGACUGAGUCAAAUGCAAGCUACAGUGGGAAGGUAAAGAGCAGCUAGGCUUGUUAGAAAGGGUGAGAAUAUCAAGAAUAAAAGCAUGUGUAGCUUUUGGCUUGGUUUAGGGAACAGAUAUGAUGAGAGAAAAAAUAA